GUAUUAGUUACAAAAGUAAGACAUCCAUAGACAUAUGUAGUGUGUGUAGACGGACGUCCCCCGGAGAGGGGACACCCGCAGAGUGCACAGGUGUGAGAAUCACGUGACGGGACCACGCGUGCAGCCCAAAGGCGCACAGCGAGGAACCGCGGUGAGGCACCCCAUAGGGGCUUCGAUAAUGAUCCUUCCGCAGGUUCACCUACGGAAA
rnacentral:misc_RNA from 1 species